AAGCCGUGGUGUGGGCAUUGGUUAGUGUAGCUUCUAAACCGUUCCCAAGCUUCACUAAAGCUCUCGUUAUUGUGCUGCGUGAAACUUGAGAUCUGAUUCUCGAGCUU
rfam:Eutrema salsugineum unplaced genomic scaffold scaffold_25, whole genome shotgun sequence.